UAUUUAUUUCCCAGAAUGCACACACACUGCAGUACUUUAUCUGGUUCCCUCUCUCUCUGUGGUUCUCCUGUGUGUUGGUGUUAUUGGAUUUCUCAUCUACAAAGUAAAGCAAUUGUCCAGGAAAAUAAAGGUUCUACAGAGAGGAGAUACUUACGCUUCUCUCCAGCUCUCUGCUGUACAGAACUCUGAAUAUGAAACUCUGCAGACUAACAGAGAGACGAGGGGAAAAAAGAACAACAUUUGAAAAGCUGCAAGUGAAUGAAUGAGUGAAUGAAUGAAUGAGUGAAUGAAUGAAUGAGUGAAUGAAUGAAUGAGUGAGUGAAUGAAUGAAUGAAUGAAUGAGUGAAUGAAUGAAUGAAUGAAUGAGUGAAUGAAUGAGUGAAUGAAUGAAUUAAUGAAUGAGUGAGUGAAUGAAUGAGUGAGUGAAUGAAUGAAUGAAUGAAUGAGUGAAUGAAUGAAUGAAUGAGUGAAUGAAUGAAUGAAUGAGUGAAUGAAUGAAUGAGUGAAUGAAUGAAUGAAUGAGUGAAUGAAUGAAUGAAUGAAUGAAUGAAUGAGUGAGUGAAUGAAUGAAUGAGUGAAUGAAUGAAUGAGUGAGUGAAUGAAUGAAUGAAUGAAUGAGUGAAUGAAUGAAUGAGUGAGUGAAUGAAUGAAUGAAUGAAUGAGUGAAUGAAUGAAUGAAUGAGUGAAUGAAUGAAUGAAUGAAUGAGUGAAUGAAUGAAUGAGUGAGUGAAUGAAUGAAUGAAUGAAUGAGUGAAUGAAUGAAUGAGUGAAUGAGUGAAUGAAUGAAUGAAUGAGUGAAUGAAUGAAUGAAUGAAUGAAUGAAUGAGUGAGUGAAUGAAUGAGUGAAUGAAUUAAUUAAUGAAUGAAUGAGUGAAUGAAUGAAUGAGUGAAUGAAUGAGUGAAUGAAUGAAUGAUCGAAUGAAUGAGUGAAUGAAUGAAUGAGUGAAUGAAUGAGUGAAUGAAUGAAUGAGUGAAUGAGUGAAUGAAUGAAUGAAUGAAUGAAUGAAUGAAUGAGUGAGUGAGUGAAUGAAUGAAUGAGUGAAUGAAUUAAUUAAUUAAUGAAUGAGUGAAUGAAUUAAUGAAUGAAUGAGUGAGUGAAUGAAUGAAUGAAUGAGUGAAUGAAUGAGUGAAUGAAUGAAUGAGUGAAUGAAUGAGUGAAUGAAUGAGUGAAUGAAUGAAUGAAUGAAUGAAUGAGUGAAUGAAUGAAUGAAUGAAUGAAAGAGUGAAUGAUCUUUAUUGUGAUUGUAUAUCUCUGCAUACAACGAAAUCUGAAGUCCUAUCGAAGUUGAUAUAAAAAAAUAAUUAAAAGAAGAAAAAUAGACAAACCAAUUUACCUAAAGUGCAAAAGUGCAAAAUCCACAUUUAGUGCAUGUGUGAGUUUAAAGUCCUGAUAGGAGAUGGGAAAGAACUGUCCUGUAGACGUGAGGUCCUUGCUCUUAAGGACCUAUACCACCUGCCUGAGGGCAGGAGAUCAAACAGGUAGUGGCCUGGGUGUGAUAUAUCAGAGAUGAUGUUUUUGGCCCUACUGAGAUAGCGGGAGCAGGCAAUGUUUUACAGGGAGCGUAGUGAGCAGCCAGUGAUUCUUUGGGCUGUGUUAAUUAUUCUUUGGAGAGCUCUCUCGUCUGCUGCUGUGUAACUGGAGUACCACACUGAAAUGCAGUACGCCAGCACGCUCUCGAUGGUAGAGCAGUGAAAGUCCACCAGUAGCUUACACUGCAGGUUGUUUUCCCUGAGCACUCUCAGGAAGUGUAGUGGCUGAUGUGCCUUUUUGACGAUCUCUGAGGUGUUGGCAGACCAACAGAGGACAUCGGAAAUAUGGGCUCCAAAAAUGUGAACGUGUGAACCCUUUCCACACGGUCCCCGUCGAUGCAGAGUGGGGCCGGGUCUGCACUACGUCUCCUGAAGUCCAGAAUGAUGCUCUUUUGUUUUGUUGGUAUUCAGAGUCAGGUUGUUUCAUCAACACCACACUUCCAGUUUCUGGACCUCCUCCUUGUAGGCUGAUUCAUCCCCUCCCGAGAUAAGUCCGAUAUCUGUAGUGUCAUCCUCAAACUUAAUGAUGGUGUUGGAGAGAUGAGAAGAAGUGCAGUCAUAUGUGUACAAGGAGUAGAGUAGAGGACUCAGCACACAGCCUUGUGGAGAGCCGGUGCUGAGCAUGAUGCUAGAAGACAGCUAGAGGCCAAGCUUUACAGAUUGUGGAAGGUUUGUGAGGAAGUCCUUUAUUAUCCUUUAAGUUUUUAUUCAAAAAUGACUUUUCAUACUAUUUUCUGUACAUUUAAUGUUGUGGUGUGUCGCUAAAACAAGUUGGAUCCUGUUCUUACUUAUUUUAUAGCAGCUUUAAACAGCCGGCCCCUCACCAGCCUCUCUCUUUCUUUCUCUUGAAGUUAAUAAGACAAAAAAAACACACGGCUUGUCAUGUAACUGAGAAACUGCAAAGUACAAGCUAACUCACACUGCGUGGCUAACAUUAGCCUUAGUUAAACCAGUUGCUUGAUAUUUAGAUAGAUGAUAUAUCACCUGAAGUAGUGCAGUCUCCUUAUCUCCUUAUCUUAUUUUACACAAAAUCAGGAGCAGAAUGUAGAAUAGAGAUAUUUUCACCAGAUAACUGGAUUCAUUUGGGGAAUGAACUCCCCACUUCUUGUGUAAAUGCUUCUGCAGAUUAUUUAAGAAAAAAAUGAUUUUUAUUUAUUUGUAUUCAGCACGAUAAACGAGGCCGAAUAUUGUUAUUGCAAUUUAACAUUUAUGGUUUCUCAUUUUAUCAUUAUUGAUAUUAUCGAUAUGUUUGUUAUUGAUGUUGCUUUGAAAAUUGUACUAACUACAGACCUAUCAAUAAAGUUAUUUUGAAAAGAAUUGAAUGAGCACAAGUUCCAAAAGGUCCAUUUCAUUUUCCAUCCCUCAGUCCGUUAAGGACACGCCCACUCUGCAGUGUGUUGGCUCCAAUAAUCUGGGCAUCGCCUCUCAGGUCUUCUUCUUUGCAACUGAGGCUCAGUGCCCUGCUGAAGGUUAGAAAAAAUACAUUCACAAGUUGUGUUUAUUAUUCGUUGUUGUGACUUAAUAAGUCAUUUUUUAAGCUGCAUAGCAGCUGGUGACUACAGACAGAGCUCCAGGUGAACGUCUCCUUCAGACCUGGCAAUAGUCUUAUAUUAACUUCAUAUUCAUGUCAUAAUACCUCAACAAUAAAAAAUAAUAAUAAUAAACAGUGGCUCAAUUACCUUACUUUCUAAUCUUACUUUCUAAUCUUACUUUCUAAUCUUACUUUCUAUCUGGUUUCUCUUGCAUUCUAGCAGCUCUUCAAUCAGCUACACAUAUUGUUUUUAAUUUAAGCAACUCUUUCCUCACAAUUAUAGCCACGGGAGGCGUUCCUCAUAGUCCAGGCAUGACAUAUGAGAAGCGUGUGUCGUGUCUAAAACGACUAGGUUGCUGUAUUUCCUCUAGUUCGUCAAUACAAUAAUCCUCAAUUUACUGAUCAAAAUGA